GCGUGAAUGGGGUAGUGGUAACCUUAAUCGUUGCCAAAGAUUCACAGUCGAUUAGCCAGGGGUUCGAUUCCCCUUUCACGCA
rnacentral:tRNA from 1 species